UUGAGGUAUAUCCCCGCGGGGGCCCGGCACACAGUGGCUGCAAACAGCAGCCUCCUCAGUAGUGUGUGCAGCCUGUUGCCUGUAUGCGUUGCCCUAGGGGACCUGGGAGACAGCC
rnacentral:snoRNA from 1 species